ACGCUCGACACCUACUGGAGGCAGCAGUUGGGAAUAUUGGACAAUGGAGGAAACUCUGAUCCAGUGACGCCGCGUGAAGGAAGAAGGUCUUCGGAUUGUAAACUUAUUUUGUCAGGGAAGAAAAAAUGACUGUACCUGAAGAAAAAGCACCGGCUAACUACGUGCCAGCAGCCGCGGUAAUCUGAGCGGGCUGCAAGGC
rnacentral:rRNA from 1 species